AUUGAACGCUGGCGGCAGGCCUAACACAUGCAAGUCGAGCGGAUGAAGGGAGCUUGCUCCUGGAUUCAGCGGCGGACGGGUGAGUAAUGCCUAGGAAUCUGCCUGGUAGUGGGGGAUAACGUCCGGAAACGGGCGCUAAUACCGCAUACGUCCUGAGGGAGAAAGUGGGGGAUCUUCGGACCUCACGCUAUCAGAUGAGCCUAGGUCGGAUUAGCUAGUUGGUGGGGUAAAGGCCUACCAAGGCGACGAUCCGUAACUAGUCUGAGAGGAUGAUCAGUCACACUGGAACUGAGACACGGUCCAGACUCCUACGGGAGGCAGCAGUGGGGAAUAUUGGACAAAGGGCGAAAGCCUGAUCCAGCCAUGCCGCGUGUGUGAAGAAGGUCUUCGGAUUGUAAAGCACUUUAAGUUGGGAGGAAGGGCAGUAAGUUAAUACCUUGCUGUUUUGACGUUACCAACAGAAUAAGCACCGGCUAACUUCGUG
rnacentral:rRNA from 1 species